AAUUUCGGACCAUGGGGGAAACCCUGAUCCAUCCAUCCCGGGCGUUUGAAGAAUGCCUUCGGGUUGUAUGGUACUCUUGGCAGUGACCAAAAGGUAUCUCCUAAUACGAGAUACUCCUGACGGUAUCUGCAGAUAAAGCUCAUGCUACCUACUUCCGAGCAGCCGCGGUAAUACGCAGGAUGCAAGCGUUAAUCGGAAUUACUGGGCGUAAAGCGUGGGUAGGCGGUUCGGAAAGAAAGAUGUGAAAUCCCAGGGCUCAACCUUGGAACUGCAUUUUUAACUGCCGAGCUAGAGUAUGUCAGAGGGUGGUAGAAUUACACGUGUAGAAGUGAAAUGCGUAGAUAUGUGGAGGAAUACCGAUGGCGAAGGCAGCCCCAUGGGAUAAUACUGACACUGAGGUGCGAAAGCAUGGGGAGCAAACA
rnacentral:rRNA from 1 species